GAUGAAGAACGUAGCGAAAUGCGAUAAGUAGUGUGAAUUGCAGAAUUCAGUGAAUCAUCGAAUCUUUGAACGCACAUUGCGCCCCUUGGUAUUCCAUGGGGCAUGCCUGUUCGAGCGUCAUUUGUACCUUCAAGCUCUGCUUGGUGUUGGGUGUUUGUCUCGCCUCUGCGCGUAGACUCGCCUCAAAACAAUUGGCAGCCGGCGUAUUGAUUUCGGAGCGCAGUACAUCUCGCGCUUUGCACUCAUAACGACGACGUCCAAAAGUACAUUUUUACACUCUUGACCUCAGAUCAGGUAGGGAUACCCGCUGAACUUAAGCAUAUCAAUAAGCGGAGGA
rnacentral:misc_RNA from 1 species